rnacentral:misc_RNA from 1 species
UCAAGUUCAGCGGGUAUUCCUACCUGAUCCGAGGUCAACCUUGAUAUGUGGGGGGUUUCACGGCAAGAACCCGACGCGUUCCCUGAGCGAGGAUGUUUACUACACUCUGUACGACGACGAGCCCGCCACUGGAUUUGGGAGCUACGGCAGCCGUAGGGCUCCAACGCAAGCCGGGGGCUUGAUGGUCGAAAUGACGCUCG